rnacentral:misc_RNA from 1 species
AAAGUCGUAACAAGGUUUCCGUAGGUGAACCUGCGGAAGGAUCAUUCACACAAUUUAAACAAAACAUAUCAUAACGAUGUAUGAAGUAUACGUAUUUUGUACUGAGUUAGAUAUAGUUUGUCUAAAUCUAAAACAAACCCAAACGUCAACUACACCCAAACCCCCAAAUACCCACGUCAACUACACCCCGUGCCAUAGUAAUCGUGCCUGUGUAAACUUCCACGGAAUGUGAGUCUGCGUAAGAGCGUGCCCAUCUCCCGCCUGCAGGUAGCUCUUUCUCCAUGGUACAGACGAUGAGCUGGUACACCAAAAACUUUAUAACCCCACUUUAUAUAAAAACUUUAUAACCCAACUUAACAAUUAAAACUUUUACAAACUACUUGAUUAACAAUUAAACUUUAAUACACAACCCUUUGCAAUGGAUAUCUUGGUUCUC